UGGGGAAUUUUGACAAUGGGGGCAACCCUGAUCCAGCAAUGCCGCGUGUGUGAAGAAGGCCUUCGGGUUGUAAAGCACUUUUGUCCGGGAAGAAAUCGCACCUGAUAAUACCGGGUGUGGAUGACGGUACCGGAAGAAUAAGGACCGGCUAACUACGUGCCAGCAGCCGCGGUAAUACGUAGGGUCCAAGCGUUAAUCGGAAUUACUGGGCGUAAAGCGUGCGCAGGCGGUUGUGCAAGACCGAUGUGAAAUCCCCGGGCUUAACCUGGGAAUUGCAUUGGUGACUGCACGGCUAGAGUGUGUCAGAGGGGGGUAGAAUUCCACGUGUAGCAGUGAAAUGCGUAGAGAUGUGGAGGAAUACCGAUGGCGAAGGCAGCCCCCUGGGAUAACACUGACGCUCAUGCACGAAAGCGUGGGGAGCAAACAGG
rnacentral:rRNA from 1 species